UACAGAGGUCCCGAGCGUUGUUCGGAUUCACUGGGCGUAAAGGGUGCGUAGGCGGUCGGGUAAGUCUGAUGUGAAAUCUCACAGCUUAACUGUGAAACUGCAUUGGAUACUAUUCGGCUUGAGAGUUGGAGGGGGGACUGGAAUUCUCGGUGUAGCAGUGAAAUGCGUAGAUAUCGAGAGGAACACCAGUGGCGAAGGCGAGUCCCUGGGCAUUAACUGACGCUGAGGAGCGAAAGCAUGGGGAGCGAACAGG
rnacentral:rRNA from 1 species